AUUGAACGCUGGCGGCAUGCUUUACACAUGCAAGUCGAACGGUAACAGCACUUCGGUGGCUGACGAGUGGCGAACGGGUGAGUAAUACAUUGGAACGUGCCCAGUAGUGGGGGAUAACUACUCGAAAGAGUAGCUAAUACCGCAUGAGAUCCAAGGAUGAAAGCAGGGGACCUUCGGGUUUUGCGUUAAUAAAGCGGCCGAUGGCAGAUUAGGCAGUUGGUGGGAUAAAAGCUUACCAAGCCGACGAUCUGUAGCUGGUCUGAGAGGACGACCAGCCACACGGGGAAUAGGACACGGCCCCGGCUCCUGCGGAAGGCACCAGUGUGGAAUUUUGGAUGAUGGGCGCAAGCCUGUGCCAGCAAUGCCGCAUGCAGGAUGAAGUCAUUCGGGUUAGAAACUGCUUAUGUACGGGACGAAAAGUCCUCUACUAUUACAGGAGGGUCGUGACGGUACCGUAAGAAUAAGCACCGGCUAACUACGUG
rnacentral:rRNA from 1 species